rnacentral:rRNA from 1 species
UGGGGAAUUUUGCACAAUGGGCGCAAGCCUGAUGCAGCGACGCCGCGUGAGGGAUGAAGGCCUUCGGGUUGUAAACCUUUUUCGCUCAUGGUCAAGCCGCAGCUUUGGGUUGUGGUGAGGGUAGUGGGUAAAGAAGCGCCGGCUAACUACGUGCCAGCAGCCGCGGUAAUACGUAGGGCGCGAGCGUUGUCCGGAAUUAUUGGGCGUAAAGGGUGCGUAGGUGGUCUUUCAAGUCGGUGGUUAAAGGCUACGGCUCAACCGUAGUUAGCCUCCGAAACUGGAAGACUUGAGUGCAGGAGAGGAAAGUGGAAUUCCCAGUGUAGCGGUGAAAUGCGUAGAUAUUGGGAGGAACACCAGUAGCGAAGGCGGCUUUCUGGACUGCAACUGACACUGAGGCACGAAAGCGUGGGUAGCAAACAGG